rnacentral:misc_RNA from 1 species
UCUUCUUCUUCUUCUUCUUUCUUUUUAGUCUCUGUUUCUUCUUGAUCAAGUUCUAUUCCUCUCUUACAAAGAGAACUCACCGAUCACGAGAACGUCAAAAGCUCGAUGACCAUCCGCGCCAAUGUCAUCGGAUCCGUUUGAUCACACGAUUAAAGAUUUCACCACCGUUCUUAUUUUCCGUCUCUGUUUUUUUGCGUUUCACGAUCUUUACCAAAUCAUGGACCGACAGUCGGAGGUGGUGACGCAAACCAUGGAUGAUGCAUCAUAUGCGUCGUUAUGACGAGAUUCAGGUUCAUAUUCUUGAUUCGCCAAAUCAGUGGGUGCAGCCGCAAGAUUGUUUGGAUUCGUGAUAUACACCAUAUUUUGCUAUUGCUUGGUAACGAC